ensembl:lncRNA
GUUUAAGAAAGGAGAAGGGAGGAACGAAUCACGUUUCUCAGAACUCACCAGCUCAUCUGGGGAAGAAGAGCUGUCUUACUAACUCUCCUGCCAGGGAGAUAGAUAGAUGGAGGGAGGGUGAGGGAGAAGGAGAAAGUGAGAGAGGGAAUGCGUGAGGCAGAGAGAGAGAAUUGAGGGGGGAUUUAGACUGGAGUCUGUUUCCUAAUCUUUAUGUAUUAACAAAAACAACAUCUUCACUCAGGCUUGCCAAAGCUUUCACAAUCUCCUGGAGGGAGAUGGAGGGGCCACUGGAGUGGGUUUUGUCUGCUUGAUGGAGUAGUGUUCUUCCAAGGCUCCUAGUGUUAUCCAGUCAGAUGAUAGCAGUGGAGUGCCCCCAUGCAUCGCCUGCUCUAAACUGUGAUUGAAACAUCAGACAAGGAGGACAGGACCCUGGAGAUGCUCCCUGGCUUGACACCGUAGAUCCUUGCUUUGUGCUCUAUCAUACUCAUCUCCAUAGCCAUUUCCUAGCUCAACUUUAGCUCCUAGCACAACCCUAGCUCCUAGCUCAACCCUAGCUCCUAGCUCAACCCUAGCUCCCACACACAUCAGGUAUGCUCGGCUGCACCGAUGUAUAUUAAUCAAUGACAAUAUGAUUACCUCUGAAUGGGCCGUAUACAUUAUUUAAAGCAGGGUCUCCUGGCUUACAGUCCUUCUGCCUUUCAAAUUAAACUCAGUCAAUAAUUAAUGUUGGGAUUAAUCAGAGAGCACCUUCAGAGGGCAGGUGUUAUGAGGGUGUACAGUGUGUGUGUGUUUUUGUAUGUGAGUGAGUGAGUGAGUGAGUGAGUGAGUGAGUGAGUGAGUGAGUGAGUGAGUGAGUGAGUGAGUGAGUGAGUGAGUGAGUGAGUGAGUGAGUUUGUGUGUGUGCAUGUAUUAACUUUUUGACAUGGAGCCAUUCAACGUGUGUGUGUGCGUGCGUGCGUGUAUUCACUAUUGACAUGGAGCCAGUCAGCGUGUCGUGAUCGUGACUCUUCCCUUUGGGGAGAAUCUCUCACAGCCCUGGGCUGAAGACAUACCCAUGCAUGUUUUUGGUAAAACAAUCUCUUACCCUCCUCCCUUCCUGGCACUAACAGGAGGAGAAAAACACUAUUUUCUCACUUGUUCUUCUCACGGUGACGUGGGCUGUGAGGAGUUAUAUUUGUUUCUCCAUGGUGGGGGGUAGGGUACUCUUAGCGAGAG